rnacentral:ncRNA from 1 species
AUAAGCAGUCGGAAUUUUUAUUAAAAAUGACGGCGUACCUUUUGCAUAAUGGGUCAGCAACUUAAUGGGAGUAGCAAGGUUAAAAGCCUCAGCGAAAGCGACUGGAUAAUUCUAUAGUAGCAAUUUAAAGGGGAAAAGAUUUAAUUUACUUUUUUUUAAUAAGAAAGACUGAUAUUAAAAGCUCGGUCGAGUUAUUAUAGGUUGUGUUGGGAUUAGUUACUUCUAUUAGACCCGAAGCCAGGUGAUCUUUCCAUGGCCAGAUUUAUAAAGGAUCGAACGGGUGAAUGUUGCAUUAUUCUCCGAAGAGCUGUGGAAAGUUGUGAAAUGCAAACCUAACCUGGUGCUAGCUGGUUUUCUACGAAACAUAUUUAAGUAUGACGUCUAUUUAAGAUUUAUGCUGGUACAGUACGGGGGUUACAAAAUAAGUAGUGUUUAGAUAUUUCAAUAUUUAAAUGUUAUGAACUUAAGUUUGAGGGGGCCUUGAAAUCCUACCAUUGUAAGAGAAUCUCGGAAUAACAUAAAUUGAUGAUAGACUUUCAGACUGCUCAUGAUAAGUUGGGUAGUCAAGACGAAAACAGUCGAGAACACGAAUUAAGGUCCCGAAUUGAUUAUUAAGUGAAAUUAAGGAUGUCUGAUCUUGAAUGCAGCUGAAAAGUGAGCCUGGUAGUCGCUACUUUUAAUGAACGUAUAGUAACAACGCAUCAGCCCAAACCUAGUAAUCUAGAUAUUAUUUAUAAUUCUAUUUUACAAAUAGGCAGGAGGGGGGCGCCGAAAAUUUAACGGGUCUAAGUAAUCAACCGAUAUCGUGUUGCUUUAUUUUAUAAUUGUUUAGUUAAAUAUGUAUUAAAACAUUAAGGGCUAAUGAAAAUAAAUUAUACAGAAAUUCUCUAUUCUAAACGUCAAGUAAAGAAUCCUGACACAUGCCUGUGUGCGGUGAAGGGGGCAAGAUAAAAUUUUUUAAUUUAGAAGUAGUAUUAUCAAAAUAAAGUUAGGUAGUAGAACAUUCUGAACGUUUGAAGAACAGUGUUUCAUUGUUUGGACGUAACUGAAGAGAGAAUGCUGACAUGAGUAACGAAAAAAGAAGUUUUAAUACUUCUCGCCGAAUGCGAUAGGUUUUACUCA